CCUACUGGCGGCAGCAGUGGGGAAUAUUUGGCAAUGGGCGCAAGCCUGACCCAGCAACGCCGCGUGAAGGAAGAAGGCUUUCUGGUUGUAAACUUCUUUUCUCAGGGACGAAGAAAGUUACGGUACCUGAGGAAUAAGCCACGGCUAACUACGUGCCAGCAGCCGCGGUAAUACGUAGGUGGCAAGCGUUAUCCGGAUUUACUGGGGUUAAAGGGCGUGUAGGCGGGACUGGAAGUCAGAGUUGAAAACCACGGGCUCAACCUGUGGCCUGCAGUUGAAACUGGAGUUCUUGAGUACUGUGGAGGCAGACGGAAUUCCUGGUGGAGCGGUGAAAUGCGUAGAUAUUAGGCGGAACACCAGUGGCGAAGGCGGUCUGCUGGACAGCAACUGACGCUGAGGCGCGAAAGCGUGGGGAGCAAACAGGAUUAGAUACCCCUGUAGUC
rnacentral:rRNA from 1 species